rnacentral:rRNA from 1 species
UACGAAGGGGGCUAGCGUUGUUCGGAAUCACUGGGCGUAAAGGGCGCGUAGGCGGCCGCUCAAGUCGGGGGUGAAAGCCUGUGGCUUAACCACAGAAUUGCCUUCGAUACUGUUUGGCUUGAGACCGGAAGAGGUGAGUGGAACUGCGAGUGUAGAGGUGAAAUUCGUAGAUAUUAGGAAGAACACCAGUGGCGAAGGCGGCUCACUGGUCCGGUACUGACGCUGAGGUGCGAAAGCGUGGGGAGCAAACAGG